AAUAUUGGACAAUUGGGGCAACCCUGCUCCAGCCAUGCCGCGUGUGUGAAGAAGGUCUUCGGAUUGUAUAGCACUUUAAUUUGGGAGGAAGGGCUUUAGGUUAAUACCCUGAAGUUUUGACGUUACCAACAGAAUAAGCACCGGCUAACUCUGUGCCAGCAGCCGCGGUAAUACGAAGGGUGCAAGCGUUAAUCGGAAUUACUGGGCGGAAAGGGCGAGUAGGUGGUUCAGUAAGAUGGGUGUGAAAUCCCCGGGCUUAACCGGGGAACUGCUUUCAUAACUGCUGAGCUAGAGUACGGUAGAGGGUAGUGGAAUUUCCUGUGUAGCGGUGAAAUGCGUAGAUAUAGGAAGGAACACCAGUGGCGAAGGCGACUACCUGGACUGAUACUGACACUGAGGUGCGAAAGCGUGGGGAGCAAAC
rnacentral:rRNA from 1 species